UAUUCCAAAGUGAGGGAGAAGUGAAAUGUAAAAUUGUGAAAUUCGAAAAUUAUCCAUCAAGCGAUCGUGUUAUAAUGGCCUGUCCUGCGGCUACAAAAACGAAUUUCAAUUUAACAGGCAACAAGUUAAAGGAUACAUUGAUUUUGAGGCAACAUCAACAGAAAAAAACGUACAAAAAAAAAAUGCAAUCAAAAAUUCAAAGCUGGAAAUCCAAAAUAUUACGAGCGAUCAUUAAGCGUGUGAUCGCGAUGGUAAUGAUACUUGAUUGCAGGAAAGUUAACAACAAACAAAUAUGAAAACUCUACCAAACCAACAGGUGCUAAAUAGCGUGACCAGCGUGACCCCAUUACUGUUGUGCUCACAUUUCAAUUAACUUGUUUCCGACUAGUCGCACAGCAAAGGUCCUUGCAUGGAAACAGUAGCUGCUGUGUGCCCCUGUUUGAAUUGAAAUUCAUAUAAAUUUUAUGGAAAUUAUGUGAAACAAUUUGCUUUGUUUAUAUGUCUGCAUAUGUAAAAGCGCAUUGAGCAUAAAAUUAUA